rnacentral:rRNA from 1 species
AUACGUAGGGGGCGAGCGUUGUCCGGAAUGAUUGGGCGUAAAGGGCGCGUAGGCGGCCCGGUAAGUCUGGAGUGAAAGUCCUGUUUUUAAGAUGGGAAUUGCUUUGGAUACUGUCGGGCUUGAGUGCAGGAGAGGUAAGUGGAAUUCCCAGUGUAGCGGUGAAAUGCGUAGAGAUUGGGAGGAACACCAGUGGCGAAGGCGGUCUACUGGACAGUAACUGACGCUGAGGCGCGAAAGCGUGGGGAGCAAACAGGAUUAGAUACCCUGGUAGUCCACGCUGUAAACGAUGAAUACUAGGUGUGGGGGGACUGACCCCCUCCGUGCCGCAGUUAACACAAUAAGUAUUCCACCUGGGGAGUACGGCCGCAAGGUUGAAACUUAAAGGAAUUGACGGGG